CCUGAGAAACCCAAAAGAUCGAAUGGGGAGAUUCAUCGUCAGCGAUCCCGGCGCUUUUGCGGUUCUUGAUGCCGGAGACUUCGGUCUCACGGCACAAGUCCGCAAACGUUCGCUUGCUGGGUGUCGUCGGCGUGCACUUCUCCCCUAGUAGGACGUCGCGACCCGUUGGGUGUCGGUCUACGGCCCGAGCGGGCGCCUGUCAUGUCAUGCUUCACGGCGUCAUGUGGCAGACCCUCGGUUGUCUGACCAGCUGCCCGGCGGUACUCGCACGGUAUCGAGUCGCAAAUAUUCGAACUGCGUCCGGCCCGCCGCAAGCGAGGCCAGUGUUACCCGGAUGUACGGACCUAGCGCCGUCACUGGGCCUGGCCAGCUGUUGGUUGGCGGUGUCCUGGGACUGGCUCAAAAUUAUGAUACCGGUCGGCGACGCUACUGCUUUGGGUACUUUCAGGACCCGUCUUGAAACACGGACCAAGGAGUCUAACAUGUGCGCGAGUCAUUGGGAACUCUUAAGCCUAAAGGCGUAAUGAAAGUGAAGGUCGGCCUUGCGCCGACCGAGGGAGGAUGGGCCGCGUCACGAUGCGGUCCCGCACUCCCGGGGCGUCUCGUUCUCAUUGCGAGAAGAGGCGCACCCAGAGCGUACACGUUGGG
rnacentral:rRNA from 1 species